AAAGGGAGACCUAAUUCAGGUAAAAGACGAAAAAAAAGUAGUCGCUACCAAGAAUCAAUCCCAAAAGGUCGGAGCGAGGCGAAAUUGGCUUUCAAACUAGGUUCUGGGUUCAAACAAGACCUGAAUCAGGAACAAGGGCUAUUAGCUCAGGUGGUUAGAGCGCACCCCUGAUAAGGGUGAGGUCCCUGGUUCGAGUCCAGGAUGGCCCACCUGUACAGGUGGCAAAAACAAAGAAAAGAAGCUCCGAAUCAGCACCUUAUCUUACUUAUAUAGUAAGAGAGAAUGCUGGCUCUGAGUACAGAGUCCAGAGGAACCUUGAAAACUGCAUAGAGCUAGGUGAAAAAGCCAAAAAAGAAGACCGCAAG
rnacentral:tRNA from 1 species